rnacentral:rRNA from 1 species
UACGUAGGGGGCAAGCGUUGUCCUGAUUUAUUGGGCGUAAAGGGCUCGUAGGCGGUUUGUCGCGUCGGGAGUGAAAACACGGGGCUUAACCCCGUGCCUGCUUCCGAUACGGGCAGACUAGAGGUAUGCAGGGGAGAACGGAAUUCCUGGUGUAGCGGUGAAAUGCGCAGAUAUCAGGAGGAACACCGGUGGCGAAGGCGGUUCUCUGGGCAUUACCUGACGCUGAGGAGCGAAAGUGUGGGGAGCGAACAGG